CGGCGGACGGGUGAGUAAUGUAUGGGGAACUGCCCGAUGGAGGGGGAUAACUACUGGAAACGGUAGCUAAUACCGCAUAAUGUCUACGGACCAAAGCGGGGGACCUCCGGGCCUCGCGCCAUCAGAUGAACCCAUAUGGGAUUAGCUUGUAGGUAAGGUAACGGCUUACCUAGGCGACGAUCCCUAGCUGGUCUGAGAGGGUGAUCAGCCACACUGGGACUGAGACACGGCCCAG
rnacentral:rRNA from 1 species